CCAAUUCCUCUCUAAACCAUCACAUGAUCAGUAAUCACAUCAGUUCCAACUCUACCGGGAGCAGUUAGUGACGUCUGGGUACCAGUGAGGAAUAUACAGUGUGGUCUGCCUGUCCUCGUUCGCUAGCGACAGCAACAGAGAGGGAGAGAGAGAGAGAGAGAGAGAGAGAGAGGCCUGAGAUCCCAGCUUUCACCAGGAGAAGUCUGUGUAUGUGUGUUAGAUGGGAUUGAAGGGGGGAAGUCCUAUUCUCUUCUCACAACGGAUGGCAUAAAAUGUUCGCUCAGGUCUGUGCUCGGGUGAGGGGAGCACGUGCCCCCUUUUUAUGACUGACGUGAAAUAUGGGGAAAAUCCCACAAAAACAAAUACCGUCUCCUACCCCACAAGACUUUGCAGUAGAACGUUUCCACCUGCAUGUAAAAGAUUAUCACAGCAUCAUACGCAAGGAUAGAGCGGAAUCUGCAGAGCAUCUCGCCCCCUGGUCUCACCUGUACGUUAUAACUAUAUAGAAUUUUUUUUAAACAAAUAUCAAAAAAACAACAACAUAUUUUUUGUAAAUGGGCUUUUCUGUGUUUACAUUUUCUACCAUUUGUAUUCACUGUGCAACACUGUGAGAGGCACUGGAAGAACAUGGGGAAUCCACCGUGCCGGGAGUUAUAUACGUAGGCUUUAACCAUUUCACUGCUGGACUGGCCGGUAACACGGUGUAACAUCAGUGGUCAACAGAACUGAAUUCAUUCAUUUGUGUGCGGUUUGGGAUAACAUAAGGAUCCUGCAAUUAAUUUCACUGUGUUUUAAUAUGUCCAUUUUAUACAUUAGGGAAAACUAGCCCCAUAAAACAAACACACCAAUGUUCAUUUGUGGGGGAAAUGAUUUGAGAACUUUGAGAACUCUGUGUGUAAAUGAGAGAUACUGUAACAGGCUGAGGGUGCUGCAUGAAGGAACCCCAGGAUCGCCCCAUGAAGUGGUCUGCGUGCCAUGUCCUGUCAUUUUAUCCUAGAGGCACUUGCCCUUCACAGCCAAAGGGGAGCUGGGUCUUAUUUGAAUGCCUCUCAUACAUUGCCCUGUCCAAUCCAAUGCUUCUCAGUGAGAUGAAUGGGAUUGCAGGUGAAGCGAGAGGCUGCAGCGGAGGGGUCCUAGCGCUGAAAACGAGUAAUAUUUUACACAGCAAUGGGCGGUGGACAGAAAUAACAUUUCUUAUUGUCAGAUCUAUAGGUUCCUGCUAAGAUAUUAUAAAGACACACCUUGUGGGGAUAUUACAUACAUGGUUAUUUACUAAGUCACAAAUUGCUGAUUAACAAAUAAAUCUCACGUUCUGCUAUUUUUUUUCUUCCAUUUGGCCUAAACUUUCCAAUUCCUGGUUUAGAAAAUAACAAAACGAAAUGAGCAGAGCUAAAUUGAUAGCAAAUAACCUUACUCUGUGUUAUUUUCAUAGCUAUCGCAAUGAUUAGAACACUUCUGGGUUCACGUACGAUCAAUAUCUUACAUUGGAGGUUUCUCACUAAACACGGAAUUGUGGUGAAUUGAAAUUAGAAUUUCAAAGACUUGUCAGAAAUAGCCAAAUGAAAAUGAAGCGGAAUUAAAGAUGGUUUCAUCAGAGCUGCUUUGGCCUAAAUGUUGCAGUUGGGUUUUUAAUUCAAUACAAAUCAUUGUUUAGUGAAUAAUUCUUAGAGGAGUAAUUAAACUGAGUUGGGGACAUUUUUCAAUCUAUUUUGUUCAAAUGUUGUGAACCCCUUGUCACUUCUUCUGAGUUACUGAUCCUAAAUGCAUCUCUGUAAAAUCAAUGUAUAUGCCGGUUGUAGUGGCGCUGAGCAUUGUACGAGCCAGGCUGGAUACGUAUCAUUCUAACAUGUUUGUUGGGGGUGUUCUUGAUAAAUGCUGCCUUUUGGUAUGCAGGAUUCAUGUGCUAUGAGGCAGGAACUCAGCUGAUCAAUGAAUAAUGGAUCAUGAAAGAAAUGCAUUGUUUACUGCAGCAUAUGAAUACUACAUACUGACGGGUAACCUGUUUCAUAUACCUCCUCAUGAAAAAGAUUUCAAAGGGAAUUAGACCAAUGAGUAAGACAUUGGGAAUCGCCCUGUUUUCUUUUAAAUGUUGACAAUAAAUUCACGUUUAGCUCAUUGGAUUGGCGGACGAGGGGAAACAUAAACAAUGUUUGUGCUCCUCCUCGAUGCUUUCUCUGUACUGACCGCCAGGUGCAAAAGGCAGUGCUGAUAGUGAUUGACAGUCGCCCAAUUCCAAGAGAGAGGUAAAUACAGCACUUUCAGUUCUUUACUUCUCAUUUUAUUUUUGAUAUCUUCAAACAUAUUUGUUAACUAGAAAUAACAUUACCAUUUCUGGAAUGUGACAAUUCCCCUUUAAAUGUCCAGGACCGUAUUUCAGGAAUGUGUAACAUUUAAUGGAUAUUAUGCUUCGCAAUGUACAUUUUAUAUAUUUUUUUUAAUUCCGGCUAUGGGCGGCAUUGCACAGUUUCAUUUCAGAGUGUUUUUAUUUUUUUAUGUUUACAAAAUGAUUUCAUAUCGUGAAAGCCUAUCAUUUCUCUUUAAAUGGUGAAACGCCGCUAACUGCUCAAUGUUACAUGUUUUAUGUCACAAACAGGCAGCUUAUAACACGCUAUCACAGGAGCAAUCAUUGCAAUCACACAUCUAUUUGCUCAUUGUGGGGAAAAAACAAGUAGAAAAAGAAGAAGAAUGAAAAAAAAAAGAAAUUUCAAUAAGCAGAAAAUACUGAUCAACAAUUCUGUAAAAAUGUAUUAAAUGUUUUCAACAUCUAUAUUUAAUAGUAGUUUUAGGUAACCGGCCAUAAAACCCGUCAUGUACUUACUUGUAACUGGGAAUUUUGAGUGUUGGUGUCUAUUAACAUCUGGACAUUGCCCCCAUGGGGGAAGGCAGAUAGGGCCCAGCUCCAUGGGGGAAGGCAGAUAGGGCCCGGCUCCAUGGGAUAAGGCAGAUAGGGCCCAGCUCCAUGGGGGAAAGCAGAUAGGGGCCGGCUCCAUGGGGGAAGGCAGAUAGGGCCGGCUCCCUGGGGGAAGGCAGAUAGGGCCCGGCUCCAUGGGGGAAGGCAGAUAGGGCCCGGCUCCAUGGGGGAAAGCAGAUAGGGCCCGGCUCCAUGGGGGAAGGCAGAUAGGGCCCGGCUCCAUGGGGGAAAGCAGAUAGGGCCCGGCUCCAUGGGGGAAAGCAAAUAGGGCCCGGCUCUAUGGGGGUAAGGAAGAUAGGGCCUGGCUCCAUGGGGGAAGGCAGAUAGGGCCUAGCUCCAUGGGGAGCUCCAUGGGGGAAGGUGGGUAGGGCCCGGUUCCAUGGGGGAAGGCAGUUUGGGUCCAGCUGCAUGGAAGAUGGCAGUUAGGGCCCGGCUCCAUGGGAAAUGGUGGUUAGGGCCCAGCUCAAUGGGAAAUGGUGGUUAGGGUCCGGCUUCAUAGGAGAAGGCGGUUAGAGCAGCUCCAUGAGGAAAGCAUUUAGGUACAAACUCACAAAUUAAAUGCAUUGAAGGCCCUACUUACCAUUGUUAGGUAUUAAAUGCCAGUUCCUUACCACUAAUUUCUGCACCAAUAUAAGAUAAAUAUAUAGUUUUUCAUAAAAGGUACUAGAAGAACAAGUUAUGAGGGGCUGGGAAUUUUGUCACUUAGGGGGGACUUUAUGCCCUGAAAUUGACCAUAUCUCCUAGCAUAUUGUAUAAAUAAUGCAUUUAAAAUCAUGCAAAAACAACCAUUCUAAAAUAAUAAAAU